rnacentral:rRNA from 1 species
ACCUCGGAUCAGGUAGGAAUACCCGCUGAACUUAAGCAUAUCAAUAAGCGGAGGAAAAGAAACCAACAGGGAUUGCCCCAGUAACGGCGAGUGAAGCGGCAACAGCUCAAAUUUGAAAUCUGGCCCCUCGGGGUCCGAGUUGUAAUUUGUAGAGGAUGCUUUUGGUGAGGUGCCGCCCGAGUUCCCUGGAACGGGACGCCACAGAGGGUGAGAGCCCCGUCUGGCUGGCCACCGAGCCUCUGUAAAGCUCCUUCGACGAGUCGAGUAGUUUGGGAAUGCUGCUCAAAAUGGGAGGUAUAUGUCUUCUAAAGCUAAAUAUUGGCCAGAGACCGAUAGCGCACAAGUAGAGUGAUCGAAAGAUGAAAAGCACCUUGAAAAGAGGGUUAAAUAGUACGUGAAAUUGUUGAAAGGGAAGCGCUUGUGACCAGACUUGGGCGCGGCGGAUCAUCCGGGGUUCUCUCCGGUGCACUUCGCCGCGUCUAGGCCAGCAUCAGUUCGUCGCGGGGGAAAAAGGCUUCGGGAACGUGGCUCCUCCGGGAGUGUUAUAGCCCGUUGCAUAAUACCCUGCGGUGGACUGAGGAC